GGAAGAGGUAGACCAUAACUUACCGACAACAGAGAGACAACCAGUGAAUCCCUUGGAAGAGUGCAGAAGACCAUCAUGGCGCUAUUGACUGUCAUUCUGCUUGUCAGCACAGCUUUUUCUCUGGGAGAUGCUACGAAAGGACCCAAGACCCCCCGUGAACCUCCUAUAUAUACUGUGAAAAAUGGCCCGCCUGGAGACUACGGCUCCACGUGCGACUGCCAGGGAGAAUACACUCCUGAGCACCACUGGGGCUCUACAGGUUCCUCUUCGUGUCUUUCCAGAACUGGAUGGACUAUCCCAGAAACUCAUCCUGGCACUGCACCAAUCAAAUGUGCAUGCAGUGGUGCUUGCAGGUGAAAGGUGUUGGAAGAGAAGACUGCGAAAUACUUUGAUGGGUCGUCUUUACUGUACUAUGGGAGCUGAUUCACAUUCCAUAUACAUGAAGAUAUCCAGAGAUACAAUUGUUGUAUUACAUUCUUUAUCGGUUUGAUUUGCCGAACAUUUUAGCUGAGCAUUUCUGGCACAUGGAGGAAUGAAUUGGGCUAUUAUGAUGAACCGUAUGACCACCACACCUGUCAUAAAGGCAGUCCAAUUCCAUGUGACCACUUCGUCAUGGUAACUGGGCUUUCACAAGCUAUUGUGCUGCUGAUGGUCGUGCGUAGUCUACUAUACUUCCUGGUACUCAGCACUUUAUUGCCCUCUAAUCACUAUCAAUGUAAUUGCAAAUCAACUAUUGAUCGUGUACAUGUGAUUAGCAGAUUUUUUAAAAUUUAUUGUGCGUGUAGUGAAAUGCUUGUACAUCUAGCUCUGACAGCCCAGUAGUAUCUAACAAAUUACGAUAUACACACCGGUAGGAUUGAUUUAAGACUAUAGUUCAGUAAUUUUGUAAUCGAUGUUCAUAAAUUCAAAUUAUCUGUCUGAUACCCAGAGGUUGUGAAGUUCUGGUCUUAAAUAAAACUGAAUUCCCAGCUCACA